rnacentral:tmRNA from 1 species
GGGGACGAUACUGGAUUCGACGGGCGAGUGAAGGGUGUAAACGGCGAUUCGGGAUCCCGGUUAUCCCGUGAUUAACCGGAAAAGCACAUAAGUGCCGAUAAUAAUUACGCACUGGCAGCUUAAUUGACUGUCACGUUUCUCCUUCUCCAAUUCACCGGGGUUGGAUGAAACGCCAAAUUGGGUGGAUUAAACAGGGUUCAUGCCUGUGGUUCUCUGUUUAACAUUUACAGGCUGGUCAGCGUGUGUGGAGGGUGGUCGCGCCUGCAGGCUGACAAGAAUUAAGCGAUCACUAUAAUCGUAGAUGUUUACAUUGGUCCUCGUCCGGACCCGGGUUCAACUCCCGGCGUCUCCACUA